AACUUGGGAGCGGUAAUGCAGUCAGAAGGGUUUCAACACUUGGAAGAGAGUUGUCCUUCGUUGUUGUGUGAUAUGCUAAAGACAUUUGCAUUAGGAGAUGAGGACUCGAGUCUGUUAUCAGGUCGGAAGAGGAGUGGGAGCAGCAUAUAUGGGCUAGAUCUAGUGGCGGAUGGGGCUGCGGCAGAAUCAGUGAAUCCCAAUGCCAGGCGAGUAAGGAGAAGGUUUUAGCAUGUGUAGCAUUGUACUGUUAUCCGCUGUUGAAGGAGCUGGGAUAGUGAUUGUGGCAGGUCUUAGCUAGUAUUAUGCUAUAUUAGGCUUUCGUGUGUCCUGAAAUUAUGAAGGGCUAGUGAUGGAACUAGCAGAAAAGGAGAAGAAAAUUAUCUGGAAGUUUGACAGGGUCUGCUCUAUUUUUUGGGCCAGCAAGGGAACUUGGACUAUUUGCUUCUGUUAAAAUGAAAGAGGAUGUAAUCAAAAUUGUAAGAUAAUCUUGGGUGCAUUACAGUUGUUUAUAUUUUUAGCUGGAACUAAAUGUAUUGCAGCAAAAUGUGAUGUGUUCAUUGCAUUUGUCCAUCUGCAUUGAAAUGAAUUGCAAAUGCUGUGCCAAAACUCUAUGGUAAGAUCUCAA
rnacentral:misc_RNA from 1 species